UUAAAAUCACAGCUAGAAAAGCAAAAAUGGUGCUUGGUCUAAAUAUUAAAGACAUGUGUUAACCACUUCAAUUUUGUUUCUGACUGGUUUUAAAUGUAUAAAUAUGUUCUACAUGCCUUGGUCAUAGAUUAUUGGCCUUUAAGUUAUUAGAUAUGGUUAAAAAAUUAUAACAUCUAUAACAAGAAGUUGACAUAAAACUGAUAAUUUAGAUAAAGUCAUUCUAGACAAUAUGUGACAUGAGCCAACCUAGAGAAACAGGUCUAAAUUGAGAUAAUAUUUUUAUAGAACUCUUAUCCUAGAAGCCAGGCACCCCCAAAUUACAGAAUGUAAAAUUGUGUUAGAAGUUUUUAAAAGAUUUCAUGAUUCUUUCAAUUUAAUUUCUGAUUCUGCUUAUGUAGUUAACGCUGUGCGCUCACUUGAAAUUACAGGGCCAAUUAGGUUGACUAGUACUAUAUGUCAAAUUCUUUUAGAAUUACAAAAAUUAAUUUGGACCAAGAAAAAAUAAGUUUUUCAUACAACAUAUUCGAGCUCAUACUAAUUUGCCUGGUCCCAUGGCCAGUAAUAACGCUUUGGUGGAUGCUAGUACUCGCAGAGAAUUUAUUUUUCAUGCAGCUCCAGUUGAUCUUGCUAGAGAAUUUCAUCAAAAGUUUCAUGUUCCUGCUUUCACUCUUCAACAAAAAUUUAAAAUCUCUAGAGCUACAGCUCGUGAUGUAGUAUUACGUUGCCAGAAUUGUGUUCAGUUUCACCACCCUCCUCAGGUGGGAGUUAACCCUCGUGGUCUGAUUCCACUAAAACUCUGACAGAUGGAUGUCACACACAUAUCUCAAUUUGGAAAUUUAAAAUAUACACAUGUUUCUGUUGAUACCUGUUCUGGCAUUAUACAUGCCACUCUGAUGACUGGUGAAAAGGCUCGUAAUGCCAUUAGUCAUUGCUUAGAGGCAUGGACAGCCUGGGGAAAGCCUGACAGCCUCAAGACAGACAACGGACCUGCCUACACCACAAAGUCUUUUCAGACAUUUUGCCAAACAAUGCAGGUCAAACAUACUACAGGAUUGCCAUACAAUCCCCAAGGUCAAGGAAUUGUAGAAAGAGCACAUCGUACUUUAAAAGAGCUCUUACAAAAACAAAAAGGGGGAAUUGCCUAUGGCAAAACACCAAGAGAACAGUUGUCUUUAGCUCUUUUUACUCUAAAUUUCUUAAUUUUGGAUAUGCAUGGCCGCUCUACUGCGGAUCACCAUGCUGCUACUAAACCUAUGACUAUUCAAAUACAGACAGCUGAGACUAUCAAUCAGAUUGUAGAAAGAACCGCAGUGGCAUUAGAGAUACAAGAAGAAUUUAAUGCCCACUUGGCAUCUGGCUUUCUAUUAGCUAACCAACGAAUAGAUUUGAUUCAAGAACAAAUUGAGGCAUUAUAUCAUAUGACGCAGCUGUCCUGCGUUUCCUCUCUUAGAGGCUUAUGUGUUAUUCCAUUGCAAGCUAACUUUUCUCAGUAUUUUCAACAGAGCAAAGAAAUCUCAAAUUAUUUGAAAGGAAACUGGUCCAUGGAAGCGGAACAAUUAUCGAGACAAUUGCUGAUGCAGAUUGCUGUCCUUAACAACACCAGAAUGGAACCCAUCUCGAUUGGGGAUUUCACCUCGUGGAUCACCAAUGCUUUCUCAUUUUUCAAAGAAUGGGCUGGCAUGUUUACCUGGGGGGCCAUUGUCCUCUUGGGAUGUGGAGUAUGUCUAUGGCUUUUUUGCCAUUUACAACGAGAGCAUGCCAGACACAAAGCGAUUGUUUACCAAGCUAUGGCGGCCAUUGAAAGCGGUGCUUCUCCCAGUGUAUGGCUGGCCUCUCUGAUAGAGAGUUCGCCCUAGAUCAUAUUUUGUCACUGUCAUGUGAAGUCAUUGUAUCCAGAGACGGGCAACUUUCCUCAGGCUCGGACCAACCUAAGACAGGAGCCCGGUGGCGAUAGGGUUAAUUUCCAGUGACGGGUAAGGCCGAGUUUUUAGAGAGGAACGACCUAAGACAGGAGCAAUGACGUGUAUUGACGUGACACCCAGAUCUAGACCAGUCAUAGACAGAGGUGGCCUUGCCCUGUUUGAACAUUCGGUCUGGUCCUAUGCCCCUCUGCUCUGCUUCUCCCCUAAUAUUAAACACACACGUAUAGCCCAGGACGGUGUGUUGUACAUAAGUCAUCUCUAGCCAUUGGGGUGCAGUCCUAACUGCAAGAGUGGUUCGCCAUGGCCGAGCUGGGCACUCUGUGAGGCAUGUCUGACCUCUCUCAGACCACUACCUCCACCUAAUGGGUUCAUUUUUAAAAAAAAAAACAAAAAAGAGGGAGAUGUAGGGAGCGGCUAAAGAUGGCGCCGACAUCCGGUGGUCGUUUGUGGUAAACACCUACAGCGCAUGUGUUGGCAGACCCCCAGCACCUACAAGGCCAGGGUGAUAUUCAUGCUAAAUAGGUAUUUCAUGCUCCACCAAUCCCCAGUGGACAAAUUUACAGCCACAGCCUGUCUUGUAUUUAAGGCGAGUGCCUUUGUUCCCCGGGGCCCCCGUAUCAUCAACUAGGUGUUCCUGCAAUAAAGGCUGAUUGAGAAGG
rnacentral:lncRNA from 1 species